GACAGAGGUGCCGAGCGUUAGGCGGAAUCACUGGGCUUAAAGCGUGUGUAGGCGGAUCGUUAAGUGCCUUGUGAAAUCCCACGGCUCACCCGUGGAACUGCUGGGCAUACUGGCGAUCUUGAGCCGCCUAGGGGCAAGCGGAACAAGCGGUGGAGCGGUGAAAUGCGUAGAUAUCGCUUGGAACGCCGACGGUGAAAACAGCUCGCUGGGGGUGUGCUGACGCUGAGACACGAAAGCCAGGGGAGCGAACGGG
rnacentral:rRNA from 1 species